UACAGCGUACCAUCAACCAUAACCCAAAGGCACCUGGAAUGCCUGGAUUAAAGAAGCUUUUGAACAGAGUGUGAGACUUUCAGCUACUGGCUACUUUAGAGGUUACAAUGAAAAUAA